CUCCAAAAGGUAAAUUCUGCAAGAACCAUUCAUACUGCGUCAAGUACAGCGACCUGGACUGCGCUUCAGAAUGGGUUCAGUUAAAUUGUCCUCGAAUGUGCAGGCUCUGUGAAUACGAAGGUCCCAACCUUCUCAAUCUUCCGGCAGUCCUUUACUACAAAAAGGGAGAUAAAA